GACGAACGCUGGCGGCGUGCUUAACACAUGCAAGUCGAACGGAAAGGCCCUGCUCUUGUGGGGCGCUCGAGUGGCGAACGGGGGAGUAACACGCGAGUAUCCUGCCCUUGACUUUGGGAUAACUUCAGGGAAAUGGGGCUCAUAUCGGGUAGGAGCUCCUGAUGCACGUGGGGGGUUAGAAAGUUUCGGCGGUUGUGGAUCGACUCGCGGCUUAUGAGCUUGUUGGUGGGGUAGGGGAUUACCAAGGCUAUGAAGGGUAGCCGGCCUGAGAGGGUGACCGGCCACAUUGGGACUGAGAGACGGCCCAGACUCCUACGGGAGGCAGCAGUGGGGAAUCUGGCACAAUGGGCGGGAGCCUGAGGCGGCAACGCCGGGUGCGGGAUGACGGCCUUCGAGUUGUAAACCGCUGUCGCCGUUGACGAAGCGUGAGUGACGGUAACGGGUAAAGAAGCAACGGCUAACUACGUG
rnacentral:rRNA from 1 species